rnacentral:rRNA from 1 species
GACGAAGGGGGCUAGCGUUGUUCGGAAUUACUGGGCGUAAAGCGUGCGCAGGCGGCUUCUCAAGUCAGGGGUGAAAGCCCAGAGCUCAACUCUGGAAUUGCCUUUGAGACUGAGUGGCUUGAGUACGAGAGAGGUGAGUGGAAUUCCCAGUGUAGAGGUGAAAUUCGUAGAUAUUGGGAAGAACACCGGUGGCGAAGGCGGCUCACUGGCUCGUAACUGACGCUCAUGCACGCAGCGUGGGGAUCAAACAGG